ensembl:snoRNA
AGGGAUUCUUUAAUGACAUGAAUGUCACUCUGCUUGAAAUCCCUCAGAUAGCUCCUCUGUUUAUAACAUGCCCCACAGGAAACUGGGAUCAUUGUGAUGAGGGGCACAGAACUUGUGGCCUCUCUCUGAACAAAUUCCCUACAUGU